AUUGAACGCUGGCGGCAUGCCUUACACAUGCAAGUCGAACGGCAGCAUGAUCUAGCUUGCUAGAUUGAUGGCGAGUGGCGAACGGGUGAGUAAUACAUCGGAACGUGCCCUGUAGUGGGGGAUAACUAGUCGAAAGAUUAGCUAAUACCGCAUACGACCUGAGGGUGAAAGUGGGGGACCGCAAGGCCUCAUGCUAUAGGAGCGGCCGAUGUCUGAUUAGCUAGUUGGUGAGGUAAAGGCUCACCAAGGCGACGAUCAGUAGCUGGUCUGAGAGGACGAUCAGCCACACUGGGACUGAGACACGGCCCAGACGCCUACGGGAGGCAGCAGUGGGGAAUUUUGGACAAUGGGCGAAAGCCUGAUCCAGCAAUGCCGCGUGUGUGAAGAAGGCCUUCGGGUUGUAAAGCACUUUUGUCCGGAAAGAAAUGGCUCUGGUUAAUACCUGGGGUCGAUGACGGUACCGGCAGAAUAAGGACCGGCUAACUACGUG
rnacentral:rRNA from 1 species